ACGAACGCUGGCGGCGUGCUUAACACAUGCAAGUCGAACGGAAAGGCCUCUUUCGGGGGGUACUCGAGUGGCGAACGGGUGAGUAACACGUGAGUAACCUGCCCUUGACUUUGGGAUAACUUCAGGAAACUGGGGCUAAUACCGGAUAGGAGCUCCUGCUGCAUGGUGGGGGUUGGAAAGUUUCGGCGGUUGGGGAUGGACUCGCGGCUUAUCAGCUUGUUGGUGGGGUAGUGGCUUACCAAGGCUUUGACGGGUAGCCGGCCUGAGAGGGUGACCGGCCACAGUGGGACUGAGAUACGGCCCAGACUCCUACGGGAGGCAGCAGGGGGGAAUAUUGCACAAUGGGUGGAAGCCUGAUGCAGCAACGCCGUGUGCGGGAUGACGGCCUUCGGGUUGUAAACCGCUUUCGCUCAUGACGAAGCUUUGUGUGACGGUAGUGGGUAAAGAAGCACCGGCUAACUACGUG
rnacentral:rRNA from 1 species